rnacentral:tRNA from 2 species
ACUAUUUUGACAGAUUAAUGUAUUGAAUUUAGAAUUCAUUUAUGUGGAUUUAUUCCACAAAUAGUA